CUUUUUCGUAUAUUCGUACAUGCAUUUCCCCACAUCCUCUUCCCCUGAACCAAAAAACAUACACAUUCCCUCUCUAUGACUUCUCAGAUCUUCACCAGCAGCCACCGUCGCCGGAAUACUCAUCAUCACCACCACCACCACCACAUCACAGGCGUCUGUUAGAUCCGCCGGCAACCAUGUCAUGGAAACCCAAAUCGCCGUAAAACCCCCAGAACCAGCAGAUGCACCGCCUUGAAAUAUGGGCACUAAGAUGAGUAUUAUUUCAAUCUUAUUAAUUUAUGUUCAUAGUUUGUAUAUGAUUGAUUCACUUUGGAUUGUAACGGAGCUUUUUGAGUAUUGUUGUAUUGUUGUUCUUACACUGGCAGCAAUAGCAAAGGAUCUUCAAGAAUACAAAGUAGCACCCAUGCAUUGAAAUGCAUCAACCAAAUAUGGCUGGAUUGGUCAACUUGAAUGCUCAUACAAAGAUAUAGGUACAAAUUGGUAAGGUGUAGGUGUUUAUAGCGGUAAAUAAUAAAAAUGGAGUAGCAAGGGGAUUACUGGUAGAUGAAGGUAUUGGGAGUUUGGGUGUUGAGAAGGAUUACAUGCAUGAAGCAAGAUAUUUGUAGUAAUAGGUUGGAGAGAGAGCCCAAUUAUCCAUGUUUAUUGUUUUUCUGUGGGUGUUUAUGUGUAAAGUUUUGGUAGAAACCAGAUUUAAUGUUCUUUUGAGUUCAGAACAUUGGAAGUAACUUUACAAAAAAUAUGAAUUCUCAUAUUUAAUGUUUUUGUGGUU